rnacentral:rRNA from 1 species
AUGGAACUGCUGCUCGUGCAAGCAACGCUUGAAAAUGCCGGCCGCAAGGAGAUCGGUGGCCCGGCCAUGGAGGAGCUGUUGCAGAGGCUGCGGGACUCGGCGCACAAUGCCCAAGACUUGCUGGACGAGCUGGACUACUUCCGCAUCCACGACGAGCUCCAUGGCACGUACAAUGCUGCCGACCAGCACGACAAGGGUGGCUUCCACGACCUUGCCCUCAAUGCUCGCCACACUGCCAAAGCUUUUGGCAAACUGGUUAGCUGUUGCCCUUGGCAGCAUGCUAAGCGCCGGCAGAGGUCACCCGGCGAAUCCUCCUCAGCACAAGACACCAAUCAAGAAGUCAGCGGAUGCAUGCCCAAGCUGAUUGGUAAACUCCUACCUUGCUCAUCCUCCCAGGAUCCACAUAUUCGUGAGAAAGAUUGUGGCAGUGUGCAAGAAAUGACAAAGUUUGAGUUUAAUAGGGUUGAUUUCUCUCGAAAGAUGAAGGACAUCAUAGAGAAAUUGCAGCUUGUGCGGAAGAAUGUUAAUGGCCUUUUGCAGAGUUGUGACCCUAGAAGUGUCUCAGACAUUGCCCAGUGUCGUCCUAUCACCAAGGGUCGAAUUGAUGAGCCAAAACUGUAUGGGAGGGACCGUGUCAUGGAUAGCAUUAUACAGAACAUCACCAAGGGUCAAUACGGUGACAAGGGUAUAACUGUGCUUCCGGUUGUUGGUUCAGGGGGAAUGGGGAAGACAACUCUCAUACAACACGUAUAUCGCAGCCAACAAGUGCAGGAACACUUUCCAGUCAUGAUCUGGAUAUGUGUGUCACUCCAUUUCAAUCUGGAUAAGGUGCUAGAGCAGAUUAAAACAUGUACCCCUGCAGUUGAAAAGGAAAAAAGUGGCAGUACAACUGAAGAUUUGAUUGAGCAAAGAUUAAAAUCUAAAAGGUUCUUACUUGUAUUGGAUGAUAUAUGGAAGAUUAAUAAUGGGAAUGACUGGGGAAAAUUAUUGUCGACACUCAAUAAAUCAAAGGAAAAGGGUUCCAUGAUUCUCGUCACAACUCGGUUUCAAGCAAUAGCAAAGAAGGUUGAAACACCUGGCCACUCAAUUAAGCUGAAUGGUUUAGAGUGUAAAGAGUUUAGAAAGUUAUUCCUUGCAUUUGUCUUUGGUGAUGAGCAAUAUCCAAGGGAUAAACAAUUUUUGCUUGAGACUGGAGAUAAGAUAAUGGAAAAACUAAAGGGCUCCCCUCUUGCGGCAAAAACGGUUGGUAGAUUACUGAGUAAAGAC